rnacentral:lncRNA from 1 species
GAACCCACAUUCGUUCUUCAUCUUCUUCAGCAAAAUUAGUCUGCAAAAAAGAGUUGCGCUCACAGCUAUCGACACACGAACUCCGAAACACGCACGCACACAGUUUUGGUUGCGAAAAACGGUGGUGGCUCGAGGUUUUCGAGUUCGAGUCGCCUGAUUACUGCUGGAGGUUGAAGUCUCAGUUCUUGGCGUUUUAACACUUUCUCUAUUUCUGUAUCGUGCAUUACUCAAUAUUUUAUCAAUCGUAAGUUUGAUUUUCAGUUUCAUAGUUGCUGAAGUUCUAUUAAUUGAAAAGCAAUUUCGGUUUCUUAAACUUCAUUUUGUUGCUGGGUUUUGUUGAUUUGAAUUCAUUGUUGAGCUCGCUUGUGAGACCUGUUUGGGAUUGGGUAUUGAAGUGUCG